UUAGAGAGGCCAUAUUUAAAAUAUGUCAAUCGUGUAGGGACGGAAUGUAGUGUUAACCAUCCACCGAAGCCCUACUUCCCCAAUUUAACACUAUAAAACUCUCUCAAAAUCCAUCAUUGCAAUUGGCAGCCACAACCCCAAAGAAAGAACGGAAAAAAAGAAAACCACUCCGAAGGAGGCUAUAAUUUAUCUAUUUUCAGGUUCAGAGAUGCACCAGAUAGCCCCUUGUUUGUUCAAGUCUUAGACUUUCAAGGAAUUAACGAGAAAAUGGGUAUUAGAGGUGCAAAAUCCAAACUUUGGGCUAAAAUAACACUCUCCCUUUGUGCAGUUUUAUUUGAGCUUUUAUAAAUCUUGCAUUGGAGUCUGUUUUGUCCAAAAACAUAUGAUAUUUUUAGCAGGCAAAGCAAAAAUGAUGAGCUCUUUUGAUCCGAAUUUAUUUAUGUGGAAUCACAUUUUGUUAAUGGUCUUCGAAGUUCUCUGAUCGCUUUGCUCGCUGCUUCAUUUUUGCUGAUGGUUUUGUCUUUUUCUUGUGCUCUUAUUUUUUUUGGGGGGUUGGCCCGUUUUUAUUUUAUUUUUUGCCUGUGUUUAUUGGGUCUUAAAGAAUUUAGCAGAUGGGUUUUGUACAUCUAGUUUUUACCAAGCAGAUGUUCUUUCGAUUUUCUUUUUUCUAUCUUUCUUUGUUGUUUUUUGUUUUUGGAUUUUUAAAGGGUUGGUGUGCAAAAGCAAAAUGAUGAGAUUAACAUGGCUGAAUCUGAUGUGGAAUUCUAUAUCACACUGGUCUUCAAAGUUCUCUGAUCGCUUUACUGCACUGUAGUGAUGUGUAUACUGUUUGGUGAAAUGAACUUGUUGCUUAAGGCUUUUGAAUGUUCCUUUUUGCCUAAUUGCAAGGUUUUGUAUGCAAUCAGUUGAGCAGCGGAGUUUUAUUUUUAUUUAUCUAAAAAAUACUCCAUUUUAUUUUGAUGGUAAUUCGUUCUGUUUAAUUAACUCCCAUUUCACAAAGAAAUGCAUUGGUGUUAUGAGGAUAUGAUUACUCUAGAGUCCAGAUUGUUUUUUCCACAUCUGCGUGAUUUGGUCUAGGAUCCAAUUGUUCAUGUUGUACUUGCGUUACUAGGAUUGCCAAUGUAUGUUUCUAUAAUUGGCUUUGUUUGUGUGGUGUUUAAUGAGCUUUUAUUGUCAUGUUGUUUUAUUAUUGUUCUUUGUAUUCAUCAUCAUGUCUUUUUUGAAUGUGUGUAAAAGCAGUUUUUCUAAUUAUACCUCAAGGAAGGAAGGUCUAUUGAGAAUGUUUUUCCAAUCUCAUCUUUUACUUGCCAAUGAAGGAUAUCAAUAAAUGCAGGCACCAAAAUUCAUAGCCUGGGAUGCAUAUAUGUUUCAGGCUGUACGAGCAUGGUGCUAUAACAAUUUCUUUGUGAUUCAUUGCAUCUUGACUGGUCUUUUUCACAUGAUCGGUUGAGCAUGAACUUUGAAGAAUACAUUCUGCCUUCAUGACUAAAUACUCAUUCCUUUCUCCAACAAUUCUAUGUCAAUGUGUGGUUUGUUCAAUGAGGAGUCGUUAUGCUUGAAGAUCCAAUAAUUUACCAGGCUUUUUGUUUGCGAAAGUGGACAACAGAAUAUGACACAUGUUCAUGGUUGAUUUUGAUAUGUAAUAAAAACAGAAUAGUGAGUUCUGAUAUUUGGAGAGAUUGGAUCUGCACUUCUGUGGGUGUCUGUAUGCCUACACAGUUAUUUCCUUAUUCUUCUUAUACAAGUUUGGCUACUUUUCCCAGCAGACAAGGAGUCUUGUUUCAACAAAUUUACAUCAAGCCUCGUUUCUUCAAUGGUGCCCAAAACCAUCAGCAAGAACUUCGCAAUUUCGAAGCACAUCCGGACACUGGAUAUGAUAAACAUCUUAAGUUGUAUUUUAUGAUUCCUAAAUAUCCAAUAGAGAUCUGCGAGGUGAUGUUGACACGCAUCCAAACUCUCUAUCGACAGCCUAUCGAGUCUUAGAUGACCAAAAUGUCCUAUUCCCACCAUCGGCUGUCCAUUACCUAAAUAAAAAAGCACAUGGAGGCAAAUUAUUUUGAA